UAGUAUUUGAUGGGUGCCCUUCUCCAUCCUUCUUCCACCACUGGUCAUAUGUUCUCUCUCCAAGGUCUUUCUCUUGUCUUCGGCGCCAUCAUCCGCCUUCCAUAAGCCCUUUCUCUUAAUUUUUCCUGACGGCUGCAAUUAGGGUUCUCGAUGGUCAAGAUUUAGAACAAGAUCCAGCGGUCGAAGGUUGAAACUGGUGGACCAACAUCUAGCAAUGUUGCCCGAGGUCAAAGUCACCGUAUCAGAGUCCAACAAUCAUCCUCACAACAAAUAAUGCAGGCAUCUCAAAGAGCACAGCAAACACAGGCAUCACAAAAGGACGUGGGAUCAACUUACAUAAAUAUUUGGAAGUUCAAGGGCACAAAUUGUCUGGUGAUGUACUAUCUAAGCGCAUCAAAAUUACAAGAGGCUCAUUCACAACUCCGAAAUAGAGAAUGAACAAAUAGAAGAUAACACAAGACUCAUUGCACCAAUAUGUUUUUUAGGAUAG